AUCCGGCUGACGAGUCUCAAGUGGGACAAAACGUGUGUCCUGGAU
rnacentral:hammerhead_ribozyme from 1 species